rnacentral:rRNA from 1 species
ACUCCUACGGGAGGCAGCAGUGGGGAAUCUUGCGCAAUGGGCGAAAGCCUGACGCAGCGACGCCGCGUGGGUGAUGAAGGCCUUCGGGUUGUAAAGCCCUGUGGAGGGGGAAGAAUAAGUCAUGGCCAAUAUCCAUGGUGACGACGGUACCCCUUUAGCAAGCACCGGCUAACUCUGUGCCAGCAGCCGCGGUAAGACAGAGGGUGCAAACGUUGUUCGGAAUUACUGGGCGUAAAGCGCGUGUAGGCGGCUUGGCAAGUCGGGUGUGAAAGCCCUGGGCUCAACCCAGGAAGUGCACUCGAAACUGCUUCGCUCGAGUAUCGGAGAGGAAAGCGGAAUUCUCGGUGUAGAGGUGAAAUUCGUAGAUAUCGAGAGGAACACCGGUGGCGAAGGCGGCUUUCUGGACGAUUACUGACGCUGAGACGCGAAAGCGUGGGGAGCAAACAGGAUUAGAUACCCUGGUAGUCCACGCCGUAAACGAUGGGUGCUAGGUGUCGCGGGCUUUGACUCCCGCGGUGCCGUAGCUAACGCAUUAAGCACCCCGCCUGGGGAGUAC